rnacentral:rRNA from 1 species
GUGGGGAAUAUUGCACAAUGGGCGCAAGCCUGAUGCAGCGACGCCGCGUGCGGGAUGACGGCCUUCGGGUUGUAAACCGCUUUUGACUGGGAGCAAGCCCUUCGGGGUGAGUGUACCUUUCGAAUAAGCACCGGCUAACUACGUGCCAGCAGCCGCGGUAAUACGUAGGGUGCAAGCGUUAUCCGGAAUUAUUGGGCGUAAAGGGCUCGUAGGCGGUUCGUCGCGUCCGGUGUGAAAGUCCAUCGCUUAACGGUGGAUCCGCGCCGGGUACGGGCGGGCUUGAGUGCGGUAGGGGAGACUGGAAUUCCCGGUGUAACGGUGGAAUGUGUAGAUAUCGGGAAGAACACCAAUGGCGAAGGCAGGUCUCUGGGCCGUCACUGACGCUGAGGAGCGAAAGCGUGGGUAGCAAACAGGAUUAGAUACCCUUGUAGUCC